CUAUCGACUUUUCGCAAAUACAUGUUGGAAUGG
rnacentral:sRNA from 1 species